UAUGUCGACGCAACCACCGAACAGUGAGAAGGUCAAUUCGGCACAAGAGCCUGUUUUCCAAAAACAAAAUCUCACUGUGCAAUUGGAUGAGAUUUGUGUACAGGUUAGACAACACAUACCUUGUGUGUUUUAUGUUUAUAUCUAUGUAGCCAGGUAUUGAGAACAUCAAUGCAAAUUAAUUAAUAUAGCUUAAAUUGUCAGUGUCGUAGGUCUGCUAUAAACUGGAAUCAUUGUCAUCAUGAUGUAUUAUGCUUUUCAAGAUUCUCCCAAGGACUGAGGUUGCGGCAGAUCGACCUCAUCAGUGAUGACAUUGCGGGAUCAUCAAGAACCCUGUCAAAAAUGUCGAAGACCAUGAGAGAGGUCUGCAAAAGAGCCAUGAAAAAGCUGCAGAGAAGGAAAGGACAGCGAAUAGGGGAGAGGAGAUACUAUAGGAGGAGCUAUAGAUGAGAGUCACUUCAGGCAUAAAAGAAAGGUAAUAACUUUAGUAUAAUCCAAAUUAAGUUGACAAUCAGAACCAUAUUAUCACUCACUGUAGAAAAAUAAAAAUGGACUAUGUUAAAUAAUGAUUAUGAAAGUGAAUUGUCUGGUGACUUCUGCUCAGGUCAUGCUUUUUUUUAACUCGAUAUCAAUGUCUUGUUGUUUUCAAAUCUUCAGUAUGGAAGGGGCAGAAUGGCUGGG